rnacentral:rRNA from 1 species
UACGUAGGGUGCAAGCGUUGUCCGGAAUUAUUGGGCGUAAAGAGCUCGUAGGCGGUUUGUCGCGUCUGGUGUGAAAAUCCAGGGCUUAACCCUGGACCUGCAUCGGGUACGGGCAGACUAGAGUGCGGUAGGGGAGAUCGGAAUUCCUGGUGUAGCGGUGAAAUGCGCAGAUAUCAGGAGGAACACCGGUGGGCGAAGGCGGAUCUCUGGGCCGUAACUGACGCUGAGGAGCGAAAGCAUGGGGAGCGAACAGG